CUUCCUUCUCUCUCUCUCUCUCGAAUAAAAUCUGAGGUUAAAAGAUCGGUGCUUGAAUCAUCUCACAUCAUCGGGUGAUUCUGAAAUCUCGCUUUCCUCUGAUCAUCGUCUUCCUCGUCAUCUGAUCUCUUACUUCGUUCCGCAAGCUAGACGAUGGCCUCUGAGACCGGAGAAAUCACCAUCGUAUGCAACCACUGUGACAGAGACAUUCCAGCUCCAAAUAUCGAUCUGCAUCGUGUACAUUGUGCCCGGAAUCUAGAAAAAUGCAAGAUUUGUGGUGAUAUGGUUCCUAAAAAGCAUGCUGAGGAACACUUCUUGAACACACAUGCUCCGGUGCCAUGCUCGAUGUGCAAAGAAACCAUAGACCGUGAGGUUUUUAAUAGUCAUACAGAAGAAAUCUGCCCUAAGAGGAUGGUAACGUGCGAGUUCUGUGAGUUUCCAUUGCCUGCAGUUGAUCUUGCCGAGCAUCAGGAAGUAUGUGGCAACCGCACGCAACUCUGUUACCAAUGCAACAGUUAUGUUAGAUUGCGUGAAACAUAUAACCACGAAACCAAGUGCCCUGGUUCUGUGCUCAACAAUGUUGAAUCAUCCAGAAGGAUCCCAAGAGCAGCAGAAGGAGAUGGAAACGGCAGGAGGAGAAGAGAUAAUGGUGUUUCUAACAAAAGGCUGUUCUUCACGAUAGCUAUAACGGGAAUAGCUGUCUUAAUAGGAUCGCUCUUCUUCCAGAGGAAGCCUGAGGGGAGCUAAGCAGAGAGAGAGAGACAUAGCUCGUGUGUACUUCUGUAAAUCUGCUCAAACUCCACAUUUGAAAUGCUUACUGAGACAGAGGUGUUCUUCCCUAAAGAUUGUUUAAGUUGAUUUACCAUGAGACUUUCUUUUAUAUUUGGUUUCAAUAAAAAGAGUUUUCAGGAACAAAAAAACUCAAGAAGACUUCUGCCAUAUGAGUAAUCGGUUUGGUUUCUAAACCCGGUCCAAUUCCGGUCUGAAGAAAUUGAACCGGAAGUAUAA